rnacentral:tRNA from 1 species
GCACUGGUCGUCCAGCGGCCAGGAUUCCGCCCUCGUAAGGUGGGGACGUGGGUUCGAGUCCCACCCGGUGCU